AUCAGUGUGGCAUAGUGGUGUGAGUGCUGGACUACAACUCUGGAGACCUGGAUUCAAUUCCCAGCUUGGCCA